UACGUAGGGUGCAAGCGUUGCCCGGAUUUAUUGGGCGUAAAGGGCGCGUAGGCGGCUCGGCACGUCCGUUGUGAAAUCGCCCGGCUCAACUGGGCGGGGUCAGCGGAUACGGCCGAGCUUGAGCAAGCUAGGGGGCAAUGGAAUUCCCGGUGUAGUGGUGGAAUGCGUAGAUAUUCGGAAGAACACCAGUGGCGAAGGCGACUCGCUGGACAGGUAUUGACGCUGAGGUGCGAAAGCGUGGGGAGCAAACAGG
rnacentral:rRNA from 1 species